GAUGAACGCUGGCGGCGUGCUUAAUACAUGCAAGUCGAACGGACAGGCCCUGCUUUUGUUGGUUUCUCGUUUGGCGAACGGGUGUGUAACACGUGUGUAUCCUGUCCUUGUCUUUCUGAUAUCUUUACGAAACUCGGGCUAUUAUCGGGUAUGAUCUCCUGCUCCAUAUUGUUCGUUGGUAAGAUUCGGCUGUUCUGUCUGUACUCGCGGCUUAUCCGCUUGUUUGUGUGGUAGUUGCUUACGAAGGUUUAGACGGGUAGGCGGCCUGGGAGGGUUAACGGCGACAAGGGGACUGAGAGACGGACCAGAAGCGUACGGGAGGCAGCAGGGGGGAAUAUUGCAGAAUGGGCGGAAGCGAGAGGCAGAAACGCCGCGAGCGGGAUGACGGCCUUCGGGGUGUAAACAGAUUUCGACGGUGACGAAGAGUGAGUGACGGUAAUGGGUAAAGAAGCAACGGCUAACUACGUG
rnacentral:rRNA from 1 species